rnacentral:lncRNA from 1 species
AUGUCCCUCCCAGCCUCAGGAAGGUGCUGUGGGAAAUUCCCACGGUGCCCUCUCAUGGGGAAAAAAAGCAGUAGAGAUAUCUCUACUUCUCCACACCUUCACAUGAUAAAGGCCUUUCGAUUUGGCUUCUUUCCAAAUUACAAGCAAACAUGGAAGGCAGUGGCUUUUUAUUUGAUCCUCUUAUGCAUAGAUUAUUGCUGGCAGAGGGGACCUUAUGCCCCCCAGACCCACUUCCCAGUGCAUGGAGGAAUGCUUUCAGAGCGGCAAGCCUUGCACUCUCUUCCCAGACAUUCAACUCAAAGCAGGUCAGCAAUUGCUCUUUACCUAGUUAAAAGCAAAAGAAAUGGCACUGAGAUGAAAUUUUUCAUUAAUCAGAUUAACAAAGAUUGGUAA